CGUCUAUAUACGUAUAGCAUAUCAAUAAGCGGAGGAAAAGAAACUAACUAGGAUUCCCUCAGUAACGGCGAGUGAAGCGGGAAGAGCUCAAAUUUGAAAUCUUCAAGGUUCUACCUUGACGAAUUGUAGUUUAAAGAAGUGUUUUCUGUUGGAGUUUUGGUAAAAGUUCUUUGGAAUAGGACAUCAUAGAGGGUGAGAAUCCCGUAUUUGACCAUUAUUUCCAACUUCGUGAUACACUUUCAAAGAGUCGGAUUGUUUGGGAAUGCAGUCCAAAAUGGGUGGUAAAUUUCAUCUAAAGCUAAAUACUGGCGAGAGACCGAUAGCGAACAAGUACCGUGAGGGAAAGAUGAAAAGAACUUUGAAAAGAGAGUUAAACAGUACGUGAAAUUGUCAAAAGGGAAGCGUUUGACACCAGUGUUGUUUUCUCGAAAAUCAAUUAAAAAUGGCGGGAUUUUGUGUUGUAUUGACUUUAUCAGCUUUCUGCACUUUUUUCCUGUCUUUUUUAAUGCACUUUUCGUUUAACAAGUCAACAUCAAUUUCUUUUGUUGUAAAAGAGGUCAUUGGAAGGUGGCUUUCUUUUCGGAGAAAGUGUUUAUAGCCUUUGACUUCCUGCAAUCGGAGAGACUGAGGUCUGCAGCGUAGAUCCUUCUGAGGUUAGAUGCAUUUGUGCUAAGUUAUAGCUUUUUAUAGACAACUUGUUGACUAUAUUUAGUCUUGUAGCUUACUCGCUUAUGCAAUUUUACCUACGCUAGGAUGUUGAUCUGUAGUGCGUGCGC
rnacentral:rRNA from 1 species